GACGUGGGGCCUUCCCCUCACUCCAAGGCAGGGGGCAGAGGACCCACGGAAAGUGAGUUUCUGAUCGCUAUUGGGAUGUCAGACACCCCAGGAACGUGACUCCGCUGUUUUCAGCUGAAGACUUUUGAGGACAGAAGCAAUAACCCCUGUGCACCAGGGGGCUGCUUCUUCAGGUCAGGACGACGCCACAAGCAACCAGAGGACUGAAACCCCCGCGGCGGGAGAGCAGGGAACCAGGAGACCUGAGUGUAAAUCCCAUCUCUCAGGAGAUUUUCUACAGUAGACCCAGAACCAGUGGCACAAAGCAGGUAAGUUACAUGGCAAA